rnacentral:rRNA from 1 species
AGUGAACGCUGGCGGUAGGCCUAACACAUGCAAGUCGAACGGCAGCACAGUAAGAGCUUGCUCUUACGGGUGGCGAGUGGCGGACGGGUGAGGAAUACAUCGGAAUCUACUUUUUCGUGGGGGAUAACGUAGGGAAACUUACGCUAAUACCGCAUACGACCUACGGGUGUAAGCAUGGGAUCUUCGGACCUUGCGCGAUUGAAUGAGCCGAUGUCGGAUUAGCUAGUUGGCGGGGUAAAGGCCCACCAAGGCGACGAUCCGUAGCUGGUCUGAGAGGAUGGUCAGCCACACGGGAACUGGGACACGGUCCAGACUACUACGAGACGCAGCAGUGGGGAAUAUUGGACAAUGGGCGCAAGCCUGAUCCAGCCAUACCGCGUGGGUGAAGAAGGCCUUCGGGUUGUAAAGCCCUUUUGUUGGGAAAGAAAAGCAGCAGGUUAAUACCCCGCUGUUCUGACGGUACCCAAAGAAUAAGCACCGGCUAACUUCGUG